rnacentral:tRNA from 1 species
GGGGAUGUAGCUCAAUGGUUUAGCGUCCGUCCGCUUUGCAUGCGGAAGUCCCGGGGCUCCAUCCCCCGCAUCUCCA